CUAACCACCUGAGCUAUGAUCCC
rnacentral:tRNA from 13 species